rnacentral:rRNA from 1 species
UGGGGAAUAUUGCACAAUGGGCGCAAGCCUGAUGCAGCCAUGCCGCGUGUGUGAAGAAGGCCUUCGGGUUGUAAAGCACUUUCAGCGAGGAGGAAGGCGUUAAGGUUAAUAACCUUAGCGAUUGACGUUACUCGCAGAAGAAGCACCGGCUAACUCCGUGCCAGCAGCCGCGGUAAUACGGAGGGUGCAAGCGUUAAUCGGAAUUACUGGGCGUAAAGCGCACGCAGGCGGUUUGUUAAGUCAGAUGUGAAAUCCCCGAGCUUAACUUGGGAACUGCAUUU